AAUGAAAGUGAGGAAGUCAAGGAUAUUGUUGAAAAUGCUACAUGUUUGUUUGACAUGACAGACUUGCACGUUGUUGAUGAUCCUGUUGGAAUCAAAUCUCGAAUACGAGAUAUGAUUCAACGGCUAAACAUCCAACAAUCAAAUGAUAUCAUGCCACUAGGUUUGUGGGGCAUGGGCGGAAUUGGUAAAACCACAAUCGCGAAAGCGAUUAAUGAUAAACAGAUGAAAGUGAAUGAAUUGAGCUUUUUAGUUGGCAUGCAUAGUACCAUUGUCACUAGCUCAAAAAUAUUCCUAAAGAUCAAGUACAACAAAAAUGAUAGGAACAAACUUGGAAUGCAUGAUUUGAUUUGUUACGAGACAUGGGAACAAACUUUUGGUGAUUUCUCUAUGUCCUCAAUUCAUUCUCCAUUCAAAAUGAAACUAUGAACAUUUCAUCCACUUCAUCCACUGUAACGCAACUUGUCUUAGUUGCUCAUAACAAGUAUCAAAUAUUGGAAUCAAUUGCAACUUGCUCAUAACAAGUAUCAAAUAUUGGAAUCAAUUGCAACUACAUUACAGACUCC
rnacentral:lncRNA from 1 species